rfam:Danio rerio chromosome 13, GRCz11 reference primary assembly.
AACCAGGCUUCUUUUGAAGCCCCAAAAAUUCACUUAGAGGACAUA